CUGCGUACCUUUUGUAUAAUGGGUCAGCGACUUAUAUUCUGUAGCAAGGUUAACCGAAUAGGGGAGCCGAAGGGAAACCGAGUCUUAACUGGGCGUUAAGUUGCAGGGUAUAGACCCGAAACCCGGUGAUCUAGCCAUGGGCAGGUUGAAGGUUGGGUAACACUAACUGGAGGACCGAACCGACUAAUGUUGAAAAAUUAGCGGAUGACUUGUGGCUGGGGGUGAAAGGCCAAUCAAACCGGGAGAUAGCUGGUUCUCCCCGAAAGCUAUUUAGGUAGCGCCUCGUGAAUUCAUCUCCGGGGGUAGAGCACUGUUUCGGCAAGGGGGUCAUCCCGACUUACCAACCCGAUGCAAACUGCGAAUACCGGAGAAUGUUAUCACGGGAGACACACGGCGGGUGCUAACGUCCGUCGUGAAGAGGGAAACAACCCAGACCGCCAGCUAAGGUCCCAAAGUCAUGGUUAAGUGGGAAACGAUGUGGGAAGGCCCAGACAGCCAGGAUGUUGGCUUAGAAGCAGCCAUCAUUUAAAGAAAGCGUAAUAGCUCACUGGUCGAGUCGGCCUGCGCGGAAGAUGUAACGGGGCUAAACCAUG
rnacentral:rRNA from 1 species